rnacentral:lncRNA from 13 species
AACGAAGUGAGGGCAUGGCAGCUCGUAUGGACAUUGCCUCUGGUGAGGUGGGCCAAGCAAGAGGGGCUGGCUUCAAACCUGUGCCCGGCCCCAAACCUCGCCUGACUCCCAAACCCUUCUCACUGCAGAGGAACACCACCCUACGCUCCAUCCUAGCCCCAAAGACACUCACAAGGACUCCACAGCCGUCUCAGACCACUUCCACUACACCCACUACCUCCAGAAAACCGGAGCCUAAUCAGCCUAUCAGUGGCCCUGUGUCUGACUCAAGCGGAGCUGUGAAACACGUUACAGAGAGCACCAUGACACCUGAACCGACCAAUGCUCUCAAAGCUCCUUCAGCCACAACACCCCACACUGACUCAACCCACACCACUGAACAAAACCACGCUGCUCUUUCCACAUCCAGCUCCCUUACUGCCCCAACAUCUGAGCCACCGGCUAGUACCAUAUCUGACCGAACUGGAACCUCGGAGGCAAAUCAAGUCAGUGAAUCUGAACUGGAUGAACAUGGCAACUCUGAUUCAGGCCACUCCGCUACUGGAACUGAGGCUGUACCAUUACCAUCGGUCACCUCUGCUCCCCUUCAACCCCAGUCUGAAGACACUGUGAGCGAGCUCACCUCUGCGAUCGUCAGAUGUCACGCCGUGGAGGAUCAGACAGCCCGCUGGGGAGGAUGCAGGAAGCGGCUGUCCAUGGGGCUCACCUCCAGGUUUGAGUCGGCCGGCCUCUCGUGCCCCUCACAGCCACCAGCCAAAGAAAACAACCAGAAGCAGGAACAGGCGACCAAGAGAGAGACUGCAGUCCUCAAAGUGUCGGUCCUCAAGACCAAGGAGGAAGAGAAGAUAACAGAUUCACCAGAGACACCGUCUGACCCGGAGCGCAGACUCAAGCACUCAGCACCGCUGAAGGAAGAGAGGUUUGGAGAAGGGGUAAAGGAGACAGGAGAAGAGAAAGUGUUCAGCAUACAACGGAGGAUCAGUUUGCUGCUGGACUCCUCCUCGAGGCCAGAGCCUCUGACCAAGAGGGAGGAAGUUCCUGGUCCAAUUAAACAAGCAGACGGUUCUGGGGGUGUGAAACAGCGAAUUAAAGACUGGGCAUUAGACACACCUCCUGUUCAGGCAUCCAAUCAGAGGGUGGAUGUUGCCCCUCAACCAAUCCCUGGCAGAGUUCACUGUGUGUUGAGUGUCACUGGGGGGUCAUUGGCGACGAGCGAAAGCGUUCAGCUAGCUCCCCGAGAGGACAAGGCUUCCACCCUAUGUCGCUCAGGACGUUCUGGGAUAAAGGUUAAUAGUGAGGAGAUAGAAGAUGAGGAAGAGGAGGGAGAGGAGAAGGGGGCCCAGGUGCCACUCUACAAACCAGUAGGAAGACUUCUUCGGAUGGAAGAUGGAGGGAAAAAACAAGAGCUAGUGAUUGAUCAAAUAGAGAAAGAUAUGGAGACCAAGGUGCAAGAGGAGGAAAAACUUAAACAGCUGGAGCUAGAAGAGAGACAAGCAGAGAAGGAGAGGGAGAAAGAGAGGAAACAAGAAGUUGAGUUAGAGAUAGAAAGACAAACAAAAGUGGAAAAAGAAAAGGAAAGGGAGAGACGGAGCGAGAAAGAAGAGAGAAAGAUGAAAGAAGAGGGGAGAGAAAGACAAAGAGAAAUAGAGAGGGAACGGGAUAUACAGAGACAGAGGGAGGAGAGAGAGAGGGAGAGAAAGAGGAAGGAAGAGGAUAGGGAGAGAGAAAGACAAAGAGGGGAGGAGUGGGAUAGGGAGAGACAGAGAGAGGACGAAGAGAGGGAGAACACGAGGAAAGAAGUAGAGAAGGAGAGAGAAAGACAGAUAGAACUUGAGAGGGAAAAGGAGAUACUGAGAGAGGAAGAAGAGAGGGAGAGGAGGAAAGAAGAGGAUAGGGAGAGAGAAAGACAAAGAGGGGAGGAGCGGGAUAGGGAGAGACAGAGAGAGGAUGAAGAGAGGGAGAACACGAGGAAAGAAGUAGAGAAGGAGAGAGAAAGACAGAUAGAACUUGAGAGGGAAAAGGAGAUACUGAGAGAGGAAGAAGAGAGGGAGAGGAGGAAAGAAGAGAGGGAGACAGAAAGACAGAUAGAACUAGAGAGGGAAAAGGAGAUACUGAGAGAGGAAGAAGAGAGGGAGAUGUUUAGAGUAGAAGAGGAGGACAGGGAAAAACUUAUAGAAGAGGAGAGGAAAAGGGAAAGAAAGAGAGAGGAGGAAAAGAUGAAGGAAGAUGAGAGACAGAGAGAAAAAGAGCAGGCAAGAGAAAGACAAAGAGAGGAAGAGAGGGAGAAAGAACAAGUAGAGUCCCCAGUCCAAUUGAUCACUCUUGAAUCUGACCACUCUCCCAAGCCAGAGCUUCCUUCUCGUUCCCCUACCAUCCCCAUCAUAGAACCCAUACUGAAGGAUGAGGAGCAUCCUCACAUCAAGGUGGUCUACAGCUUUUCUAACAAAGAGGAGAAACCUCUUCUCGAGGUGGUCAAUGAUAAUUUCUCCAUCAAGCUCGGGAGGUGGGGGUCUCAGACCAGGCUCCUCGCCGACUGUGCCCAGGAUGAGACAUCUUCCCCUGGAAGGUUACUGGGCCUCCAGAAAACCGUUGUUAACACCCAGGAAGCACUCAACGUCAAAUCUCACCCAGCCGAGGGGAACAUAGAGUGGGUAGUCCCCACCCCAGAGAAUAGGAUGGAGAAGGUGGAUGAAGAAGAGGAAGCAAAUGUGGACACAGAGGAGCUAGGGCUGACACCAUGGACAAGCAGAAACCACAAGCUCUGA